rnacentral:rRNA from 2 species
GGGGAAUAUUGCACAAUGGAGGAAACUCUGAUGCAGCGACGCCGCGUGAGUGAAGAAGGUCUUCGGAUCGUAAAACUCUGUCCUUGGUGACGAAAAAAAAUGACGGUAGCCAAGGAGGAAGCCACGGCUAACUACGUGCCAGCAGCCGCGGUAAUACGUAGGUGGCGAGCGUUGUCCGGAAUUACUGGGCGUAAAGGGCGCGUAGGCGGCUCUUUAAGUUAGAUGUGAAAACCCAGGGCUCAACCCUGGGAGUGCAUUUAAAACUGAAGGGCUCGAGUGCAGGAGAGGUAAGUGGAAUUCCUAGUGUAGCGGUGAAAUGCGUAGAUAUUAGGAGGAACACCAGUGGCGAAGGCGACUUACUGGACUGUAACUGACGCUGAGGCGCGAAAGCGUGGGGAGCAAACA